UGAGGAAUAUUGGUCAAUGGGCAAGAGCCUGAACCAGCCAAGUAGCGUGCAGGAUGACGGCCCUAUGGGUUGUAAACUGCUUUUAUAAGGGAAUAAAGUGAGAGUCGUGACUCUUUUUGCAUGUACCUUAUGAAUAAGGACCGGCUAAUUCCGUGCCAGCAGCCGCGGUAAUACGGAAGGUCCGGGCGUUAUCCGGAUUUAUUGGGUUUAAAGGGAGCGUAGGCCGGAGAUUAAGCGUGUUGUGAAAUGUAGACGCUCAACGUCUGCACUGCAGCGCGAACUGGUUUCCUUGAGUACGCACAAAGUGGGCGGAAUUCGUGGUGUAGCGGUGAAAUGCUUAGAUAUCACGAAGAACUCCGAUUGCGAAGGCAGCUCACUGGAGCGCAACUGACGCUGAAGCUCGAAAGUGCGGGUAUCGAACAGGAUUAGAUACCCUGGUAGUCCGCACGGUAAACGAUGGAUGCCCGCUGUUGGUCUGAACAGGUCAGCGGCCAAGCGAAAGCAUUAAGCAUCCCACCUGGGGAGUACGCCGGCAACGGUGAAACUCAAAGGAAUUGACGGGGGCCCGCACAAGCGGAGGAACAUGUGGUUUAAUUCGAUGAUACGCGAGGAACCUUACCCGGGCUUGAAUUGCAGAGGAAGGAUUUGGAGACAAUGACGCCCUUCGGGGUCUCUGUGAAGGUGCUGCAUGGUUGUCGUCAGCUCGUGCCGUGAGGUGUCGGCUUAAGUGCCAUAACGAGCGCAACCCCUCUCCUUAGUUGCCAUCAGGUCAAGCUGGGCACUCUGGGGACACUGCCACCGUAAGGUGUGAGGAAGGUGGGGAUGACGUCAAAUCAGCACGGCCCUUACGUCCGGGGCUACACACGUGUUACAAUGGCAGGUACAGAGAGACGGUCCCUUGCAAAAUGGAUCAAAUCCUUAAAGCCUGUCUCAGUUCGGACUGGGGUCUGCAACCCGACCCCACGAAGCUGGAUUCGCUAGUAAUCGCGCAUCAGCCAUGGCGCGGUGAAUACGUUCCC
rnacentral:rRNA from 1 species